CAGUCGCCGCGGUAAUACGUAGGGUGCGAGCGUUAAUCGGAAUUACUGGGCGUAAAGCGUGCGCAGGCGGUUGUGUAAGACAGGUGUGAAAUCCCCGGGCUUAACCUGGGAACUGCGCUUGUGACUGCACAGCUAGAGUAUGGCAGAGGGGGGUGGAAUUCCACGUGUAGCAGUGAAAUGCGUAGAGAUGUGGAGGAACACCGAUGGCGAAGGCAGCCCCCUGGGCCAAUACUGGCGCUCAUGCACGAAAGCGUGGGGAGCAAACAGGAUUAGAUACCCGUGUAGUCCCUGUCUCUUAUAC
rnacentral:rRNA from 1 species